ACAAAAUUUAUGGGGUAUUUUUUUAGAGUACGUUUAUGUCAACGUCUGCGUCCGCAAUUGUACUAGGAAGAAAAUAAAAAAAUAAAAUAAAAAAUAAAUUUAAUAAAAUAAAAAAAAUAUUGAAGAUACUAAACACAAAAACACUAACAAAAACCAAUCACUCCUUCUAAAAUAAAGUAAGAACGAAAAAGAUAAAGCUCUUUGUAUUAAAAUACUUUCAAUAACUCAAUAACGACUGUUUUAUUUUCUUUACUUCUUUUUUUUUAGAUUUUCAAUUGCUUUAUUUUUUUGAAUUUCUUUAUACUUCCCAGAAAGAUACGAAUAUGUACUAUCUAAAACACUAAUCAAAAAUGUCAGUUGUUAUUUAAAAUAAUUAAAAAUAACGUCACAACUCAAAAACGCAUUACAUCAUAAACAUCACUAUGAUGUCAAAAUGUUGCAGUGAAAAAAAUAAAAUCGACCUUAUCGAUGAUUUUUUUGAAAAAUGACUGAUAACAAAGAUAUGAAUUUUGUGCAUUACUUUUGGUUUAGUUUGUCUGUUAUUCUUUUGGUAUGCUUAUUUUGGAAAUAGUUAAGUGUGUAUAAAUUUAGUUUCUUAUCUUUAAACAAUGAAAACAUUUUCUUGAAAUUACAACUGUUAUGCACUGAGUGCUUUUAAAAUUCAUAAUCAAAAAAACUUGAUGUAUUAACCACAUUUAUAAGGAAACUAAAAAUCACUCAUAUUUUUUAUUUUACACUUUACGAACGAUUUAAAAUCUAAAGAGAACAAUAAAGCAAUAAGUUUUAUUGCAACAAGUCUUGAUAUAAGGUAACAGAAGUUGCGAAGAAUUUAAUAGAAGUCUGGACAAAAAUACAGAUGAAGCUACUAAUUACUAGUAUUACUUUGUUCCUACUUUGUUACACAACUCUUGCUGUACCUUCAUUUGAUUUAUUGUCUUCACACCUGUUUAAUGGAGCGGAAGGCCACAAUUAUAAGAAACCUAAAACAACACAUAAAACAUUUGAUUUAAUUCCUGCACAAUCACCACCUGUAGCAAGAAGUAUUCGUAGUAUCAAUGUAAAUGUGAAUGUAAACAGACAGAUAAACACAAAGGUGAACUCGCA